AUGGGGUGCANCAGGGGCGAAACCUCCGCAAUGCGGGAAACCGCGACGGGGUCAGCCGGAGUGCCCGCGCAUCGCGCGGGCUGUCGGGGAGCCUAAACAGCUCCCCAUAGCAAGGGCCGGGCAAGGCCGGUGGCAGCCGCCGCGGUAAUACCGGCGGCCCGAGUGGCGGCCACUAUUAUUGGGCCUAAAGCGUCCGUAGCCGGGCUGGUAAGUCCCCCGGGAAAUCUGGCGGCUUAACCGUCAGACUGCCGGGGGAUACUGCCAGCCUAGGGACCGGGAGAGGCCGGGGGUAUUCCCGGGGUAGGGGUGAAAUCCUGUAAUCCCGGGAGGACCACCUGUGGCGAAGGCGCCCGGCUGGAACGGGUCCGACGGUGAGGGACGAAGGCCAGGGGAGCGAACCGGAUUAGAUACCCGGGUAGUCCUGGCUGUAAACGAUGCGGGCUAGGUGUCGGGCGAGCCACGAGCUCGCCCGGUGCCGGAGGGAAGCCGUUAAGCCCGCCGCCUGGGGAGUACGGCCGCAAGGCUGAAACUUAAAGGAAUUGGCGGGGGAGCAC
rnacentral:rRNA from 1 species